UACGUAUGGUGCAAGCGUUAUCCGGAUUUACUGGGUGUAAAGGGAGCGUAGACGGAGUAGCAAGUCUGAUGUGAAAACCCGGGGCUCAACCCAGGGACUGCAUUGGAAACUGUCAAUCUGGAGUACCGGAGAGGUAAGCGGAAUUCCUAGUGUAGCGGUGAAAUGCGUAGAUAUUAGGAGGAACACCAGUGGCGAAGGCGGCUUACUGGACGGUAACUGACGUUGAGGCUCGAAAGCGUGGGGAGCAAACAGG
rnacentral:rRNA from 1 species